GACGAACGCUGGCGGCGUGCCUAAUACAUGCAAGUUGAGCGCUGAAGGUUGGUACUUGUACCAACUGGAUGAGCAGCGAACGGGUGAGUAACGCGUGGGGAAUCUGCCUUUGAGCAGGGGACAACAUUUGGAAACGAAUGCUAAUACCGCAUAAAAACUUUAAACACAAGUUUUAAGUUUGAAAGAUGCAAUUGCAUCACUCAAAGAUGAUCCCGCGUUGUAUUAGCUAGUUGGUGAGGUAAAGGCUCACCAAGGCGAUGAUACAUAGCCGACCUGAGAGGGUGAUCGGCCACAUUGGGACUGAGACACGGCCCAAACUCCUACGGGAGGCAGCAGUAGGGAAUCUUCGGCAAUGGACGAAAGUCUGACCGAGCAACGCCGCGUGAGUGAAGAAGGUUUUCGGAUCGUAAAACUCUGUUGGUAGAGAAGAACGUUGGUGAGAGUGGAAAGCUCACCAAGUGACGGUAACUACACAGAAAGGGACGGCUAACUACGUG
rnacentral:rRNA from 1 species